rnacentral:rRNA from 1 species
CCUACGGGAGGCUGCAGUGGGGAAUAUUGCACAAUGGGCGAAACCCUGAUCCAGCAACGCCGCGUGAAGGAAGACGGUUCUCGGAUUUUUAACUUUCUUUUGUAGUGAAGAAUAAUCACGGUAGCUUAGCAGCAAGCCACGGCUGACUACGUGCCAGCAGCCGCGGUAAUACGUAGGUGGCCAGCGUUGUCCGGAAUUUCCGGGUGUGAAGGGAGGGCAAGCGGGAAGGCAAGUCAGCUGUGAAAACUACGGGCUUAAAUUGUAGUCUGAAGUUGAAACUGGUUUUCUUGAGUGAGGGAGAGGUAUGCGGAAUGCGGAGUGUAGCGGUGAAAUGCGUAGAUAUUAGGCAGAACUCCGAUGGCGAAGGCAGCAGACUGGGGUUUAACUGACGCUGAGGCACGAAAGUGUGGGGAGCGAACAGGAUUAGAUACCCGAGUAGUC